AUUGAACGCUGGCGGCAGGCCUAACACAUGCAAGUCGAGCGGAUGAAGGGAGCUUGCUCCUGGAUUCAGCGGCGGACGGGUGAGUAAUGCCUAGGAAUCUGCCUGGUAGUGGGGGAUAACGUCCGGAAACGGGCGCUAAUACCGCAUACGUCCUGAGGGAGAAAGUGGGGGAUCUUCGGACCUCACGCUAUCAGAUGAGCCUAGGUCGGAUUAGCUAGUUGGUGGGGUAAAGGCCUACCAAGGCGACGAUCCGUAACUGGUCUGAGAGGAUGAUCAGUCACCUUGGAACUGAGACACGGUCCAGACUCCUACGGGAGGCAGCAGUGGGGAAUAGUGGACAAUGGGCGAAAGUCUGAUCCAGCCAUGCCGCGUGUGUGAAGAAGGUCUUCGGAUUGUAAAGCACUUUAAGUUGGGAGGAAGGGCAGUAAGUUAAUACCUUGCUGUUUUGACGUUACCAACAGAAUAAGCACCGGCUAACUUCGUG
rnacentral:rRNA from 1 species